rnacentral:lncRNA from 10 species
CGCAAGAGUCACGGUCAGUUGCGCCUCUGCUUCGGAAGAGUAUUUUUAGUGGCAAAUAAAGUGGUGCGCAAAUAAACAAACGCCUGGAACAAAUCCUGCAAAGGAGAGCGCCUGUGUGCGGCCCACUGUCUAACUAGGUCAGCCUCGGGCACAGCUCCUUUUGACAGUUUGCUCCCCAGGGCGGAAGGUGACCCGCAGGUGCCGGCUGCUUUCCCCACCAAUCAGCCAUCUGUGGUUUGAGACUCACAAGCUUAGGAGAGACUCGGGAGGCAUCAGUUCCGCAUCCCGCACUCCCACGUGAAUUUGCCCCCGCCCUGAGUCAGAACCCUAGAGGGGUGAAAUCCCUGAAUUCUGCAGAGGAAACCCAUACUUCUUUGCUUUUUCAGCAAUUCCAGGAGAUGUCGUUUUUCAAGUGGCAAAUGUGUGGCUCUAGAGGACAGAGUAACCACCUUGCAGCCAAGAAGCCCUGAUGUCAACUCCCAGCUCUGCUGCAGCACCCAGAAAUCACCGGACCUUUCUGCAUCUUUCUGGUCUUUGAGCUUCUUAAAGGGAAGACAUGUCCUAUUCAUCUCUACACCCCCCACACCAGUCUGCAUUCAGUAAGUGCUCAAUCAAUGUCUGCUGAAUCACAUCUUCCCACUCAACUGCAUGGCCUCGGAUGAUCCAAUUCUGUGGGACUCAGGGUCUCCCUGAUUCUGAAGAUCUCCAUUUCAGCCACCCCAUCCUGGUGCUUUUUCUGGAGAGACUGGGAAAAAGGUCUUAUUGGCUGUGCAAACUUGAGGGAGUUGCCUAACCACUCUGGGCCCUGUUUUCCUGGCUUUGCCACUCUUCAGCUGUGUGACCCGGGGAAGCUCUCAACCUCUUUGUGCCUCCAUUUCCACAUCUGUAAAAUGGGGAUAUGAAAGUGGCUGCUUUGUGAAGAGUCCUGAGAAUAAAUGAGUUAAGUUUCCAUGAAUCAGGAAUCCAGGAGUGGUGUAAGUUUCUCAGGAAGUUGCAGUCAAGACAUUGGCCAGGUCUGUGAUCAUCUGAAGGCUUGACUGGGGCUGACAGAUCCACCUCCAAGUUGGUUCACUCCCAUGGUGCAGACUGCUGGCAGAAGAACUCAAUGUCUCCCACAUGGGCCCCUCAACAGGCUGCUUGAGUAUGUUCAGAGCAUGGUGGCUGGCCUCCCUCCAAGUGAGCAGUCCAAGACCUAUUCUGGGACGUCAUACACCAACACUUUUGCCACAUUCUACUCCUUAGAAGCAAGUCCCUAAGCAAAGCUCAUACUCCACGGGAGGGAAACCAGGCUCCACCUCUUGAAGGGAGGGGCACCAAAUAAUUUGCAAGUAUAUUUCAAAACCACUGCAGGUCACAUGGUGCAGAAAGACAGAAGCAGAGCAGAAGAAUAUUAAAACCUAUUGAAUUUACAACAGCAAGAAUAAAAUACAUGAUUGUUGGAACAUUUAGAGCUCCUUUCUCUCUAUUGUCUGCCCAGGAAAACUGAUAUGGAUAAAUAUGGAAGAGAGCUGGCCAGUGGAUGAAAUGGUGAUGUAAAGGUGAGCUUUGCGGAAGAGUGGAGAAAAGAGAUUGGCACUGAAGUGGGCAGUGAAAGAGCAAGAGGCUUGUGGGAGACUUGAUUUCAGAGGCAGCGUUUGGAUGGUUAUGAACAGGCUUUCCUCUUCUUUCAGGGGUACCGUAAAGAUCAGAAUUAAUAGUAUGACUAUUUGGUUUGGAGGCUGUUUCAUUAAGUAUUACACUGUGGAGAGACUGGAUCACAUGGGUCAUAUUAUUUAUUCAGGUUACAUUCACACUCCCUGUGAAUUCCCACCCUAUGCAAACUGGCAAGAAAACGCUAUUUUAAAAGAUUCUUGAACGCUUUUGUAUCUUUCUUAAGACUUUUGUAUACAGCACUGUUCACAUAGUAGGUAGUCAAAAUUAGUGAGAAAGACUCAAGCAAAAAGUUUAUUUGGAUUUCCAUAUGAUUUAUAAGCCAAGACGCUAUAAUCCAAAGAGGCAGGAAAAUGAUGUAAACUAGGUUAAGAGAAAUAAAAGCAGGAGACGAGGAGAGAGUCACACCACGGCUCUGCAGCCCACACCACCUUGGAACCAAACAGGGAGGUGGCAGAACUGAUGGGCUGGCCGCACCACCUUAAAUCUCUUAGCUCCAAAACUGGAGGUGCUCAUCAGGACCCUGCAUCAUUUCUGUGGGUGAUGGAUGGUGUGAGGUAAGGCACAGAGAUCUAGACUUAUUUCUCCUUCCACAACAAUUGUUUCUUGGAAGAGGAAGAAAACUUAGCUGGAUUUUAUCUCUUUGUGUGGAUUUCUGGGGUAGACACCCAGAGGUGUGUGCAGGAGCAUGCUCUUUGGGGCCCACAUAGAGAUUCCAGCAGGUGCUGGAGAUUCUGGGGUAGCCUUUCCAUGACUGCUGGCCUCUUUUCCCCUGUGUUGCUUUGGUUUGCUGUCUGGCUAAAGGCAGGAGUGGGAGAAACUCACAUUCCACAAGAGGCUGCCUGGAGCAGAGGCCAAGAGGGUAAGGUUUGUCCAAGGCCUUCCAUCUCAGCUUUGCUGCCAAUUUGUCAGAAAAAAAAUCAUUUGUGCCAAUUAGACCCUGGUUAGGAAAGUGUUGUCCUGUCUGGGAAGCAGGUACAGAAACCAGUUGCAAGGACAGGAGAUCAAUGAAAGUGACACAUUACUUAUGCCUCCAAUUCUUCUCAGCCCUCAAUUUAGUCUCUGAGACACAGAGAAAAUAAGUGUACUUGCCUUGCUAAUGGGUACAUGGUUGGCUUUGGGCAAUUUAUAUAGAGCACUUUAGUUCCAAGAUGAAAUGCACUGAGAUAUUAGGAUUAGUCUCUGCUUUAAUGAGUUUCUGACUUGCAGGUUUGAAAAAAUUUAGUUCUUUUCUGUAUUUCUCUACAAACACAAAACAAUGAUUUAAUGGUAAAACAACAAUGAAAAGAAACUAGGCCAUUCUCUCCAAAAUGAUUAAAAGGGUACUUCUCCUGACCUGACAUAACCUUUCCUCAUAUGAAUUUAUUAUCUGUAUUCACACUCAUAUUCCACUGGAAUGCCUUGGGUCCAGGUGGAUGGUUGCUUAUGGUUAGUAUCGAUUCUGAGCAGGUAGGCAUUCAUACUGUUUGGUUGACGCCUGUGGUGAACAGACCUUAAGGUGACUUCUUGCACCCCUGAGUCAUUUUCUUGUAUAAUCUCCUCUCUUUGAGGACACAAACUGUGCCCUGCUUCAAACCAGUGGAAUAGAGACAAGGUGAUGAGAUCUUUGGUUAUUGCACCUAACUGCUUCAUUCAUUGCACAAUUAGUCACACGCUGUUUUGUGAUGCAGAACAUUUUUUUUUAAGAGAUGGUAGUCUCACUCUGACACCCAGGUUGGAGUGCAGUGACAUGAUCAGAGCUCACUGCAGCCUCAAACUCCUGGGCUCAAGGGAUCCUCCUGCCUCAGCCUCCUGAGUAGCUGGGACUAGAGGUGCGUGCCACCACACCCAGCUAUUUUUUAUUUUUUGUAGAAAUGGAGUCUCACUUUGUGGCCCAAGCUGGUCUCCAACUCCUGGGCUCAAGUGAUCCUCCCACCUUGGCUUAUCAAAUUGCUGGGAUCACAGGUUUGAGCCACCGUGCUUGGACUGUGAUGCAAAAUUUUAUCUAAACCUUGUAUUGUUGACUAUAGCAUCAUGCACUUACUAUUUUCCCUCUUAACUAGAUUUUAAGUCUCUUGAGGGCAAGAACUCUGUUCUUGAAGAUUUUCAGAAGCCCGAUAGCAUAUGGAAGUACUUGACACACAAUAAGUACACAGUCAUAUGUGAUUUGGUUUCUGAGCCUUCAUUUGUCCAACAAAACCAGAUGGGUCUUAGAUGAAGAUAUACGUGGCAAACACUGCAUGCCUACUGUGGGUCAGGUUAGCUCCCAGACAUGCAGAAAACAAAAGCUCUGUCCUCAGGAGUUCAUGAUGGUUCAACCCAAUCAACGAAGUCUUGCAAUCUCACUUCCUCCUUACCUUGUAGAGUUGGAAGAUAUCCAAAUAUUCCUAGAGUUCUUUGUCAAUCUGUCAGGAUUAUAAUUCCACAGAUCAGGCAGAGUGUAACCAUGAAGCUCUUCAGUGAAUUUUUAGUGACUUUUGGGUGAUUUUUUAGUUUCCAAGUAGAAGAAGCAAAAGACCCUUGUGGUGGUUACCUUCCAUCUAAACAGAGAGUGAGCUACAAAGAUACUGCUGUCCCUCAGUGGCCCAUGGGUGUCCCUGCAAAUCUGUGACUCAAGUGGCCAUAUUCAUAUUAAGCAGACCAGAGAUCAAAACCAUAUUAGGCAUGAACCACUUUUUAUUCAUAGGCUUACCGAAUAUAU